UCGAACACUGCACCUCUCGCUAUCUGUAGGCCACAGCGCUGGUCCACCCUGAUCUAAGUCGCACCAAACAGCGACAGAAAAAGGGAGUGAGCAGAAGCCAGAAACACAGCGUAACGUGAGCUGGAAUCCAAUCCACACACUGCAUCAAUCAAAUCUCACCAAAGACCCAUCGACUCCAACACCAUCGAGUGAGGGGGGAGAGAGACAGAGGGAAACCAUUGAUGCUGCCAGAUCUGAUCUGCCUUCAUCAUUUAUAGAUUUCCAGCAGUCUGGUUUCUUUUCAUCAACACCCUGUGUGGCGGACCCCCAGCCACCGCUUUGACGACUGCUCUUCCCUGCUUCCGUUCAUUGCAGCUCCCGCUUUCGGAGAGCUGAACUGCAGAAAGGGCCAAGGGAGUCAUUCGGAAGUGUUGCUCAUUAGGGAAUGUCGCACAACAAACUCAAGGAGUGCUCACUUCGCCAUCCCGCUGAAAUGACAAGAUUAAACAACCUGCGUGUAUUGCUGAUGAACAGGGGGCCGAGUUAUUGAAUUACUUAGCCACACUGGUGGCAUGAAGCUGAUUUUCAAGUCCAUGCCAUCAUACCCCUUUGUGCUAAUUAAUUCUUGAAAUUUUUUUAAUGUUUAUUUCUUUAUUUUAAUUUAUCUAUUGAUACAUUGAGGAACAGGCCCUUCUGUCCCUUCGAGCCACACUACUUAGCAAUCCCUCUCUUUAACCCUAACCUAAUCACAGGAUGACUUAAUCAACCUACCAACCAGUACAUCCUUGGACUGUGAGAGGAAAUCCACGUGGUCACGGGGAGAAUGUACAAACUCCUUACAGGCAGCUGCGGGAAUCGAACCAGGGUUGCUGGUCCCAUAAAGCGUGGUGCUAACCACUGCACUACUGUGCACCACUUUACUAUACAGAAGCAGGCUUCUGAAGUCUUUGGGAAGAUCCGACAGGCAUGAGAGGAGUUUCUUUAGCCCUUUCCACGCUCCUGUGGUGGUGUAGAGGUACAUGGUUAUGACUGUUUGUGGCCCCUUUUCAAUGUGAUGCAUCCUUUAACCCGGGGUGACGGAGUGGAGAUACGUCUCUGGCAAAGGAGGUGUACGGGGCUCCUUCACUCCGCUGGCCUGUAGGUCUCCCUUGGUAAAGUCUAGCACCUGCUUAGCCCUUGAAGCCAUGGGAGCAGAUGGUGGAUGGUCGUAUGAGCAGCUGGUACAUAUCACAAGUCCUGGUUAUGUGACCACGGACAUCAGGCAGACAAUCUCUGAAGAGUAUUGAUAAUGGCUCGGUCAUCCUUCUUGAAAAGUCACUGCCCGGAAAAAGGCAAUGGCAAAUCACUUCAGUAGAAAAAUUUGCCAAGGACAAUCAGGGUCAAGACCAUGAUUGCCCUCGUUAUAGGGCAUGGCACACGAUGGUGAUGAUGAUAUACCUUUUAAAAAGCCAGGCUUUUCUCCUUGAGAUUCCGUGCUGGCUCUAUCGGGAAGUGAUGGUGUCCCAGAUGUCAGAGGUUUCAUCCAAACUUCAUUCUUUGUCGGGCAGUCUCUCCUGCCACACAGUACAUCACAGCCCAGCCCGAAGUAUGUGCAUUUCCCAGAGAGUGUCAGGGAACAAAAACAUUCAUUUUAUUUUCCUUUAUUUUACAUUCAAUUCAACCAAUUAAAGAGGCCUGAGGCAUGUAGUGGAUUAGUGGGAGCACCAAGAAACCUUUGCAGGUAGACCCUAAAUUGCAUACGUGGAGUUGCCACAGGUUCUCACCUUCUCCUACCAAAAUUCUGGUGAAAUUCAAAGAAGCCAUUGUAUCAUUUUCCCAGCUUUUCCAAAACCCUUCUAAAUCUCCCCCUCCCCCCAAGGGAAUCUGAAUCAGAAUUUGAUUAACUCCUGACUAAUUCACGUUUCACUUUCCUGGUUUCCCGUUAUAAUUAUCUUUCCCUCAGGAGGCCAGCCCAUUAUCCUUUCAAACACUUUUGCCCUGGUUUCAGCAGGCCUUCACCCUGGAUUCUACUCUCUACUGUCGGCCCUCUGCUAUUCCGCAGCACACUGUGAAGCGACUGACAGUCGCCCAUAACACACCUUUUCCAAAGAGAGUGUCCUGACGAAGGGUCUUGGCCCGAAACGUUGACUGUACCUCUUCCUAGAGAUGCUGCUUGGCCUGCUGCGUUCGCCAGCAACUUUGAUGUGUGUUGCUUGAAUUUCCAGCAUCUGCAGAAUUCCUCAUGUUUACGUUUUCCAAAGAAACUUCACCUUGAUUCACGGGGGAGAAGGUGAAUGCCAGGGUGUAUGCAAUGGGUUAAUGGCUGCUUUGCUUCCAUGGAAAUUUGUAAAAAAAAACCUUGGUGAGUUAAUAUCAAUAAAAUAUGAAUCAGAUAAACAUACGCAAAUUAUCCACUUACGGAUUCAGAGACAAAUGGAUCUUUCUUACAAAUUCUUGGCUACUUGCCCUAAGCAACUAAGAAGAGCCAUAAUCUUUAUGUAUCCCUCCACCAGGAUUUUCACCAAGGCAAAUAAGUGAUUGGCCAGGUGUGUUUUCUUUGCAAUAGAGGUGAUAAUGGGAAGUUUUAAUUAAUAUGAAUAAAGUGUCAGCUCGAAAUAGCUAAGGAUGCAUCAUUUUGCAGAGUGCAUGUUUAAACUGAGAUACUGUUGAUAUAAACUGUUUUCCUAAGAGAUUUUUAAUUAGACAUACCCGUCACUCAUGGAUUGUUCCUGUUAUGUUUCAUGUGCUCCAGCUCACAUUUAGACAGUAAAAGCACAACAGAAGAGUCCAGGUGUCUAGUAUAAGCUUCACAUCUAAUGCAG